GGAUGUGAAGGUGAUCUGGCUGUGACAUCUGUCACCCCAUUGAUCGCCAGGGUUGAUUCAGCUGAUCUGGCUGGCUAGGCGGGUGUCCCCUUCCUCCCUCACAGUUCCAUGUGCAUCCCUCCAGCAACCCUCCCACCUCAGCCUGCUGAGUAGCUGGGACCAUGGGCACACACCACCCACCCGGCUAAUUUUGUU
rnacentral:snRNA from 1 species